rnacentral:rRNA from 1 species
UCAUUUAGCGGAGGAAAAGAAACUAACAAGGAUUCCCUUAGUAACGGCGAGUGAACGGGGAGAAGCCCAGCGCUGAAUCUUUCGGUGUUACACCGUUAAGAAAUGUAGCGUAUAGGUGUGGUUUUCAGUUUGUGCUGCAUGYCCAAAGUCCCUUUGAUAGGGGCCACAUUCCUGAGAGGGUGCGAGACCUGUGCGGGCAGUGGAGCAAGCUGUACGAUCAUACCUUGGAGUCGGGUUGCUUGAAAGUGCAGCCUAAAGUGGGUGAUAAACUUCAUCUAAGGCUAAAUAUAGACGCGAAUUCGAUAGCAAACAAGUACUGUGAAGGAAAGUUGCAAAGAACUUUGAAGAGAGAGUUCAAGAGAACGUGAAAUCGCUGGAGUGGAACCGGAGAGAGUUGACGUAGCCGGGUAACUAAGUCGACUAAUGUCGCUUAAUUGUGACUGCKGGAGAUGUAUGUUGCCUAUGGCUGCGCUGACAGCGCUGGCCGUGCGUUCCGAACCGUUUAGCGUUGCCCACCGUUUCGACGGUGGUGUCUUGCUGGCGGAUAGGUUUGUCGUGGCUAGCGUUUUUGCCCUACUUCAUUGUAGGGUGUCAGUGUGAAAGUCGACCACCUCUCCGA